UACGUAGGGGGCGAGCGUUGUCCGGAAUCAUUGGGCGUAAAGCGCGUGUAGGCGGCUUGGUAAGUCCGGUGUGAAACCUUGGGGCUCAACCCCAAGCCUGCACUGGAUACUGCCUCGCUUGAGUCCGGGAGGGGAGAGCGGAAUUCCUAGUGUAGCGGUGAAAUGCGCAGAUAUCAGGAGGAACACCAAUAGCGAAGGCAGCUCGCUGGGACGUCACUGACGCUGAGGCGCGAAAGCGUGGGGAGCGAACAGG
rnacentral:rRNA from 1 species